GGGGGUAGAUAGGUGCUGGUGUGCCUUCUGGUCUUCAAAAUCAGUAUAGGGCGUUAAUAGCGUCCUGGGUGGGUUCGAUUCCCACAUGCUCCC
rnacentral:tRNA from 1 species